ACGGACAAGGUUGUCACAUUCAGAACAAGGAAGUUCAUAACAAAUCCCCUCCUCUCGAGGAAGCAAUUCAUCCUCGAUGUGUUGCAUCCUGGAAGAGCUAAUGUCUCCAAGAACGCAAGAACAGAGCGAGAGCGAAGAAGAUUCGUGGUGUCAAGGUCCUUUCAUUGUGAUUAGCCCUCUAAAAUUGCAUUGCCAUGCUAACUAUGGUUUUACUUGCAUCAUUGUGUGGAAAGAAUUUUAUGUAUUUUGGUUUUUGCAAUCUUGAAGAUCAUCGUUAGUUUUUAUGAUGUUCAUGUCUGAAAGCUGUGAUGAAUCAAUCAAAUUUACCAUCUAUCUUA